UCUAAACGACUCUCGGCAACGGAUAUCUCGGCUCUCGCAUCGAUGAAGAACGUAGCGAAAUGCGAUACUUGGUGUGAAUUGCAGAAUCCCGUGAACCAUCGAGUCUUUGAACGCAAGUUGCGCCCGAAGCCUCUCGGCUGAGGGCACGUCUGCCUGGGCGUC
rnacentral:rRNA from 1 species